ensembl:lncRNA
AAAUGGUUUUAUAAAAGAACUUAAUUUUGCUUAUUGAAAAUCUCAUCCUGGGGUCCUAACAUGGCCUGGCAUACAGGAGAAAAUCUUUACUUGCUAAUUGAUCAUUUCUAAAUUACAUUUCUAAAUGUGUUCUUGAGAAAGUAAUGGAAUCUUGGAAUUAGAAGGGAAUUUAGAGGUAUCUGACUCCAACUGACACCUGGCCAAAAAUUCCCUUGACAGCAACUCCUGCAAGUGGUCAUCUAGCUUCUGUUAAAACACACUAAUGAUGGGGGGAAAGGGAGCAUGAUUAUCACCAGUAACAGUCCACUUUUGAUCGGUACCAUUUGUUGAAAAGUUUUCUUGUGAAUUGUUUGUUAUUUAUAUGGAGCUGAAAUCUGCCUCUCUGUAUCUUCUACCCAUUGCUCUAACUUCUGCUCUCUGAAGCCAAGAAAAAUUAGCCUAAUCCUACUUUUCAAUCACAGAGGAAAUGUGAUAUAGUACAAAGAGCAUCAGAUUUGGAGUCAAGAGACCCUGGGGCCAAAUAUUGGGACUUCAAUUUAUUGUGUGUAUAGGACCCUGGGCCUCAGUUUCCUCAGCUAUAAAAGGAAGGGGUUGAAUGCAAUCAUUUAUAAGGCCCCUUCCAACUCUAAAUGUUUGAUCCCAUGACAGCAGUUUUAAAUAUUUGAUGACAGUGAUUAUGUUCCCCUAAGCCUUCUCUUCUCCAGGCUAACUUAAGUUCCUUCAACCAUUCUUUGAAUAGCCUCGCACCUGUCAUUCUCUCACUUAUCCAGGUAUUGUGGAGGACAUUAAAAUACACCCAUUAAGAGUUAGCAAUCUCCCUGGGAGGUCAGACAUACAUAUGUGAAAUGUCAACUGUUAAUGAAUUUGUGGUUUAGUUGUUUUUCAGCUGUGUCUGGAUCUUUGGAGCCCCAUUUGGAAUUUUCUUAGCAAAGAUACUGAAAUGAUUUGCCAUUUCCCUCUACAGCUAUUUUUCAGAUAAGGAAACUGAGGCAAAUAAAAUUAAGUGACUUACUCAGCAUCACACAGCUAAUAAAAAUCUGAGUAUGGAACUGAACUCAGGUAUUUCUGAUUCCAGGCUGCAUAAUCUGUCCAUUGUACCACUUAGCUGCCUCAAUUGACAAAUACCUGAUGAGAGACUGCAUAGUGUAGAGGGCAAGUCACCACACUUAGAACCAGGUAAGUCUAUGUUAAGCCCAUUCUCAGAUACUAAUUAGUUGCGUGAUCUUGGGCAAGUCACUUAAAUUCUCUUCCUAAUGUACAAAACAGAGGAGGUUGGACCCAUGGCCUCAAAGGUUCCUCCAGUUCUUAAAAAAAAAGAAAGAAUAAAUGUAAGUCCUCAUUAGCGAUUUUGAUGCCUUUGUGAGAGGAAAUCUUAUUUUCUCAUGAAAUCUUCCUUUCUACUAAUCUUAAGAGAUAGUAUAGCCAAAGCUGAGAAAUUCAAAUUCUACUCAUUCCAAAUUAAUCAAAGUUCUCACAAAAACUGGGAAUUGUGCCAAAAAUCACCCUUACUAAGCAAAGCUUUUCUUAAUUUGUGAGGAAGAUUUCAGGAAUUAAAGCUUGAGCUAUUUGAAGGAAUAAACCUUCUCUAACAUCUCCAAGCAUUUAGAAGUGUUCAGUUGCAGACUAGUAAUUGACAUACUAAUUACAAAUCUAUUUUAUCCUCUCUGAUUCUUUCUCUACUUGUUGACAGUUUUUUUAACCUCCUCUGCAUUGCUAUAUGAAUUGGAAAGUCUAUCAAACUCCACCUUUUCUCUAAAGGAAAUUUAAUACACUCUCAAUCUCCAUUGCUCUGUAUCCAUAUAGAAAAGCAGACAAAAUGCAAGAAUAUUAGAUUGGGAGUCAGGAAACCUGGAUUGUGUUUCCAAUUCAGUAGUAACUAAUCAGAGUUACCUUGGACAAGUGACAUGAUCCUUCUGGGUUGCAGUUUCUUCACCUAUAAAAUGUGUAGGUUGGAUCAAGUGAUCUUUAAAAUACUUUCCUAUCUUAACAAUCUGUGUGCCAACAUUUUUUGUUCUAAGGUCAUUUGCAGUCUCAAAAUUCUAUGUUCUGCUCUACCAUUUUGUGUUCUAAGAUUCCUUCCACCUCAGAAAUUCCAAGAAAGCCAAAAGCUUAAUACAAAAUGACCUUUUAGAAAAGCAAGUUUUUUAAUAAAAUUCACUCUUUAGACUAGGAGUCGGGAAGUCCAAGUUCUGGUCUUGAUCAGCUACUUACUCGAUGUAUACUUAAGCAAGUUAGUUUCCCCUCUCUGCUCACUUUCCUCAUCUGCAAGGUGGGAAUAAAAAUAUCUGCCUUGUCUACUUUACACAGCAGCUGUGAGGGACAAAUUAAAUAAUGGCUAUGGAAAUGCUUUGUAACUGGGAAACCCUUCCAUAAGUUUUGUAAUAUUGUCAUGGAAAGCUCUAGAGAAGUUGGACUCUUCCUACCUCACAGUGUUAUUGUGAGGAAAGAAAGCGCACUUCGUAAAAUUUUGAAAGUGAACUAGAGUUUGCUAGUAUUUAUUAUGAUGUCCUAUUCUAAUCUCAACAGUAACAGAGGGGGAUUGUCAACAUGGCCUCUGUUCUGUUAUGAGUCCUAAUGAUUUUCUUGGGAGAAAGUGCAGGAUAGUGGGUAGAAAGCCAGCCUUGGUGUAAAGAAGGUUCAAGUACUGCCCUGACAUGUACAGUCUCUGCAACCAUGGGCAAAGUCCAAGGGACUUUCCAGGGUCUUGGAAGACUGUCUAAGAAUGUAAGUUACAAACAAGUUGCUGAUCUGCAUUUGUGCAAGUAUUUUCCACAUCAGGAUUUCUCCCAUACUGAUGAAAUUACAAGUCUGGGUCAAAAAUGAUUUUCUUAGAUAAAUAUAAUUAGAUGGACUAAAUGACCUCUAAGGUCCCUUUCAAUUCUAACAUUCUAUGUUUAAGAACCCUUCCAGCUUGAACACUCUUAUGUUUUGAUGGUCUAUAUUCUAAAGUCUUUUCCAACUUGAAGAUUCUGCCAAGUCCUUAACUUCAAUAUUAUCCAUCUACUUUCCCUCUAAUAUUAGGGGAAGCAAAUCAGAGUGUGCUGGAUAGAUUAAAGAAAACAAGUCUGGAAAUGUAAUGUUGGUCAUGGACAAGCCACCAAUGAGAUAAUCAAAGCUUGACUAUAUGUCCCUGGGGGAAGAAAAAAGCUGAAACUAAUAUGCUGUGGAAUGUUCCUAUAUUUUAAUGCAUCUCUGGUUUGUCAGGGCUUAUAAAAUCUUAAAGCUAACAUUCCUGCCAUGUACAGACAACUGUAUAUUCUCCCAAAUACAUUCUGUAGAGGCCACAAGCAUAAACACUAGAAUGAGAAAUUGUUGCAUGAUUUUAUGUCUGAGAAGCAGAUCUGAGCCCUCUGUGGGAAAAAGAUUUUUGAGAUUGGUCAUAUGUAGUCUGACUGGGCUAUGUGCCCAGUUGCCCUUUGAAGGAUUCAAGGCGCUAAAUUGUCAGUAUCAUCACCUAAACUAUCCUGUGGCAACAGGAAUUGAUCUCGAUGGCAAGACUCCCACUAAGUGGGUUAACAGACUGAAAGACCUCAGGUCCCACAUUCCAUGAUGUCAUUUUGUUUGGGAAAUGGUCUUUUUAUGCUACCAGAAAUCCAUUAUUUCCCAAAUUAUAUGUGCAUAGCUACUUUCAUAGUAGGACCACAAAUCAUUCUCUCGUCUCCCUUCCACUCCCUGGGCUCCUUUCCAUUUCUACCAUGUUUCACAGCCUCAAGGGGAUGUUAUGGUACCAUUUUAUAGAUUUUUUUUUUUAAAAAAGGUCAUUGAAAAGGUGAAGUGAUUAACAGAAGCCCACUAGAAGUGAAUUCCAAAUUCCUGAAGCCCAGUUACUAUCAGAUGACACUGAAAAAAAAAACAUUCUUUUGGAUUUGUAAAAUCUUAUAGCAACUCCUAAGCCUCUAUAUGUAAUGAUUCCCUUUGAAAUAAUGAUUGUUCCAAAGGCACUGUAAUGUUUUUGAUAUAGAACAUUAGAUAAGGAGUCAAUAAGAUUUGAAUUUCAGUUCUGGAUUUAAGAUUAAAUUCUUAUGGAAUUAUGGUCAAGUCAUUUCAGCCCUCUGGGCCUGUUUCCUCAUCUGUAAAAUGUGAAAAUUUGACUAGAUAAUCUCUAAUAUCCCUUUCAGCUCAUAUUGUCCUGCUACUAUGUUCCAAGACCCUUUCCAAUUCCAACAUUCUACAAAUCAUCAUGACUGUGUCUAUUCUUUAUGACAAAAAGUACAUGUUUCCCUCCCACCAACAAUGUUAGAAAUUCUGUGCAUGUCCUCACAAGAGAAAUGAGCAUCCUUAUAGAUGCAUAAAAUAUUUGAACUUGAAGGUAACUUGGAGAUCUCCUAGUCCAUCCAGUGCACGUAUUUAUAGAUUAAGAAACUGUGACUCAGAAAGGUAACACAGCCUACCCAAAGUGACAAAUCUAGGAAGUAAGAGGGUUGUGAUAUGAACCCAAGUUUUCCAGUUCAGAUUUUAGUACCAAUCCAUAUCCCUCAAAUAAUGAUGUAUCAGUACCGUGGUGAUUUGAAUCAGACUGGGUCUUAAAUUAUUGUUUCUUGGUCGUAGCUAAGAUUAGAUUGGGAAAUAGUGCAUUGGAGUUCUCCCAGCAGUGAAAUCGAUUAUUCUCUGCACCAGCCAAGACUAGCAGCAUGGACACUACAAAUGGAAUCCAGGACCAAGCAGGAUGGGAACAUUAUUAGUACUUACCAGACUUUGAAGAACAAGUCAAGUGCGAGGAAGUACAGUAGCAGUGGUUGAUUUCUUCACUGUCAAACAUCUAGCACUUCUACUGUUAAUUCACAGCCUCUAUGCAAAUGAUACUGCAUAUCAGGCCGAUGAAUAAAAUAAAAGUGUUCACCAACUAAGCAAGGAGUAUGACUAAAAUGUAUUCUAGGUCAGUUUUAUAAAGGCCCACCUUGUUAUCCGUUCUCAAAAUGACUUUUUCAAAUGAUUUAUGACUGUGUCAGAGAAGAAAUGGUUAUAUAUGUAUUCAUGUUGCAUAAUCUCCUAUGAAUUUAGUGCCAAAAUGCAUGGUUUUCCACUUAGCAUACAAGCAUCAUGUAGACAGUAUUUUUCAUGUUCCUACCUACUCCUCAUAGUAAGUUGUAAAUUAGUUUCUAUAUUUUAAUUGAUUUCUUGUGAAAAUGGUUGCACUGUUCGGGAUUGUCUUUUCCAGCAGACCACUGCAUGCCAUUGGUGGAAUGCGUUUCUACAACCCUUGUGAACUGUCUUACCCAUAAUAACCUCUGAACUUUAACCCUAUGUGGGAGGCAUCUUUUGGUUUUGGUGAAGUAUUUUGUUACCUCAGUCUUGUAUUCAAG